rfam:Enterobacter aerogenes KCTC 2190, complete genome.
GAUGAAGUAAGGAGAUGAAUAUGACGAGGUCAACCACUAAGCAGUUCUAUCAACGGUACUUUUCUGCGACGCAGGGAGCGUCCUGGCUGGCCCGCCAGUUAGCAGGUAGGCAGCAGAAAAUGCUGGAGGAAUUGAUGCAGUGGGGAGUUACGUCGCCGACCUCCGAUCGUUGACUUGCCGACAUCAUGUGUGACUGAGUAUUGGUGUUAUACUCGCCAUCUUCAGGCUGCAAGCGCAUUGGCUGCAACUCGAAAUCCAGAGUAUUGAAUCACCCGCCAGCAGAUUGCUUCUGCUGGCUUUUUUC